rnacentral:rRNA from 1 species
CCUACGGGUGGCAGCAGUGAGGAAUAUUGGUCAAUGGGCGGGAGACUGAACCAGCCAAGCCGCGUGAGGGAUGAAGGUACAGAGUAUCGUAAACCUCUUUUGUCAGGGAACAAAGUCGGGGACGUGUCCCCGGAUGAGUGUACCUGAAGAAAAAGCAUCGGCUAACUCCGUGCCAGCAGCCGCGGUAAUACGGAGGAUGCGAGCGUUAUCCGGAUUUAUUGGGUUUAAAGGGUGCGUAGGGGGGUUGUUAAGUCAGCGGUCAAAGGCCCGGGCUCAACCCCGGCCCCGCGGUUGAUACUGGCAGUCUCGAGUUGGAGAGAAGUAUGCGGAAUGCGCGGUGUAGCGGUGAAAUGCAUAGAUAUCGCGCAGAACUCCGAUUGCGAAGGCAGCUCACUGGACUGCAACUGACACUGAGGCUCGAAAGUGUGGGUAUCAAACAGGAUUAGAUACCCGUGUAGUC